CACUUCACUCUUAACCACACACAGGUGUAGCCACUCAUUCAUUACCCGCUCGUUCUCUGUGACACAUCUUCCCAUUUACAGCCAGCACUUGACCACAACUACACUUCCACAGUUGCAACCAUACGAAGUCAUAAAGAACUCAAAAGGAUAUGGCUCAACUGCGAUACUUCCUAGAGGAGGCCAUCCACCAAACGUCAGUGAACGAGUAAGGAGGGCAUCAUUGGGAGGCAGGUUCUGCUGUAAUAGACGUUUAUCCAUUCAGUCACGGCUCUCCACGCUGACUUAAUAAACCGAAUGUACAAGAGAGUGUAGCCUGGAGUGAAGAGCGGCUCGGAUGGAAAUGAAUCAGCCUCGGCUCCGGGUUUCUUCGGCUGGAACUCGUCCACAUCCAGCCUGUGGUACAGGAGCUUGUUUCAGGAGUGUGCUGAAGUCUGUUUUUCUCCAUGAUUAUCACAGCCUCUCUGUGUAGGACACUACAGAAUGAUAUUCACGACAAGAGUGACAAGUGAUGCGUGUUAAAGCCGAAGUUGAAGCUGUUGGAGUAAAUCCAUGUGAUAGCAAUCACCAUCACCGUGAUAUCAUAUUUGGUAACAGUUUAUUUUAAGGGGGCCUACUGUAAACCAGGCCUGUGGUGAAUUCUUGAAUCUGAUUGGUCAGAAGGUGUUGAUUUAAUGUGCUAUAACGGCACUUCUGAUAAUAGUGCAGCUGCGUUAAUGUGCUCAUUCUAAUAUGUUCUCAUUUCUAUAGUAACAGCUCAUUUAUAGGGAACACUCACAGGGACACCACAUAAUCGUCCACGUACAGUGGUGCUUGAAAGUUUGUGCACCCUUUAGAAUUUUCUAUAUUUCUAGGUGAAUAUGACUUAAUAUUAUACUCUGUCAUUAAUUUAUUGUGGGAUAUGAUCCAAUAUUACAUAUGUGUGGCAAAAGUAUGUGAACCUCUAGGAUUAGCAGUUCAUUUGAAGGUGAUAGGCAGGUGUUUUCAAUCAAUCAGUGCGACGUCCCAAAGUGAUCUGAAUCUAUGCACAGAUUCAAUGUCCUAUUUAUACAGUCUUAUAUUUAGGUCACGCGCAAUUAUCUCAUUCUUUUGUGUUUCUUUACGGACAGUAAAUCAUAUCAAAGUUAAAUAUCAUUGUGAGAUAUUUCUACAUGCUUGAUCAUUGCUAAGGCGACAGAAGAGAAGUGAAGACAAAGGACUUUUUUGGAGACAAGCUCCAUGUAACUAUCUGACUAUGAAGACGUUAAUUAAAUCAAGGAAUCUUGUAACAGAGAGCUGAACAGUUUGUAUGUAACAGGCAAAAAAAAAAAUAGUACUUGUCUAAUUGAUCAUGCAUUUCAUGUCAUCGCAAGCCAGCGACUCCAUUUCCCAGAAUGCUGCAUUAAGUACAAACAUGGCGGAAGACAACUACACUUCCCAUACACUCACACGGUGUUCUAAUUAGAGACAACUGUUCCCAAUUACACUGACGAUCCCACCACACUAUAUAAGAGACUCUCUCUCUCACACGCACGCGCACACACACACAGAGAGCAAAUUGCGAAGUCUAUGCUCAGUUGUGGUUUGUCUUUGCCAUUACCAAGCCUUGAUACCGUGUUUGUUUUUCAGGUUUUGAUAUCGUUCACGUUCCUGACCUUGUCUCUUUACCUUGCCUGGUUUGAACUGUUUGCCUGAUUGAUUGACCCUUGGCUGUCCAUGUGUAUUGAUUUCUGCCUGA